rnacentral:lncRNA from 1 species
CCCGAGGCGGGGCUCCCGCCCGCCGCAGCACGGGGCAGGCCGCGCGCCGCCGCCUCAGCUGUGCCCGCAGGAGCGGGGCGGGGCGGGGCGGAACGACGGGCCUUUAACGCCUUCACGCUCACCGGGUACCUUGCGGCGCUGCCGCUCUGGCGCGGGGCCGUCACUCACCGCCCGCAGCACCGGGGCCAUCCCGCCCGAGCUGCGGCUUCUCCUCCCCAUCACUUCUCCACUUCUCUCACCACAUCCUCCCAGCAAGCAGGAGGCUCCCUCACUUUUUGCAUGGGCUGCACAUGGACAUGGUGGAAACACUGCUUUAAAAUUCAUCAUCCUGAAGGAAAAGAAGUGAACUCAGGCUGUCACUCGUGAUGCUGUGAGAAGGAAAGGACGAAGGCAAGACAUGAAUGCCUCCAUCAGAUACUGUGUCUCUCUGGCUUCCUUGUUAAUGCAUCCCUGAGCUGCAAAUGUUGGAUGUCUCAGUGCUAAGUCUGGCUAUCUACAGGGUCAGCUGCAAUGUAAACAGCAAUGCACCAGGUCUUAUUGGAAGCUUUAGCCUGAUCCAGUGUACUGGACAGCCAUAGGCACCUGGGUACCCCAGUGGCAGGUUUUUAAUUGUACAGAGGUGCUGAGCACUACCAGACAAUUCGGCUGUGUUGCAACUCAUUUUUGUCAUCCCUGUAGACGCA